rnacentral:rRNA from 1 species
GAGACUGCCGGUGACAAACCGGAGGAGGGUGGGGAUGACGUCAAGUCCUCAUGGCCCUUAUAGGUGGGGCUACACACGUCAUACAAUGGAUGGUACAAAGGGUCGCCAACCCGCGAGGGGGGAGCCAAUCCCAUAAAGCCAUUCGUAGUCCGGAUCGCAGUCUGCAACUCGACUGCGUGAAGUCGGAAUCGCUAGUAAUCGUGGAUCAGAAUGUCCACGGUCCGAAUACGUUCCGGCCUU